UAUAUGUGUUGGAUUGAUACUGUUCUAUAUGUGUUGGGCUGUGAUUACUGUUUCAUAUGUGUUGGGAUUCUUCCACUGUUCUAUAUGUGUUGGGAUUUGAUACUGUUCUCUAUGUGUUGGGAUUCUCUCACUGUUCUAUAUGUGUUUGUUCUUCUUCACUGUUCUAUAGUUUGGGAUUCUCUCAUGUUCUAUAUGUGUUGGGAUCUCUCACUUUUCUAUAUGUGUUGGGAUUCUCUCACUGUUUCUAUAUGUGUUGGUUGAUCUCACUGUUCUAUAUGUGUUGGAGUCUCUCACUGUUCUAUAUAGUGUUGGGAUUCUCCUGUUCUAUAUGUGUUGGGAUUCUCACUGUUCUAUAUGUGUUGGGAUUCUCACUGUUCUAUAUGUGUUGGGAUUUGAUACUGUUCUAUAUGUGUUGGGAUUUGAUACUGUUCUAUAUGUGUUGGGAUUUGAUACUGUUCUAUAUGUGUUGGGAUUCUCACACUGUUCUAUAUGUGUUGGGAUUUGAUACUGUUCUAUAUGUGUUGGGAUUCUCACACUGUUCUAUAUGUGUUGGGAUUUGA
rnacentral:lncRNA from 1 species